CUGGGCUUGUUGAGUAUUUGGCCGUACUGCUGUGGUGCAAUUACUGAGCGUGGGAAUUCCCUCCAGGGUGGAGCCCUGUGCUGUAGAACUUCCAAAGGCAGAUCGGAGGCAGAACAUCACAGAAGAGCAGGCAAUAACGCAUUAGCCAGCACAGCUAACCUGUCUCAGCAGCUCCACAGUAUUUGUCAAGACCAGAGGGAGGGAGUGCAAGCCUUUCCCCAGCAGGAACGAUUCCAGACAGUAACCACAGCUCUUAAAUCCAGCCCUUUCAAGCACCCGCUUCACACAAAACUGGGACGCGCGUGCAUAAAGGGCUUCAUACUCUUUGUAUGGCUAGGAAUAAGUAGGUACCCACAGAGUGGGCUCAAGUACCAUCUGGAGGACUGUACUUUUACCGCUGGAGAGUGCCACGAGCUAGCGAUGUGCAUGAAGCUGCCAAAGAGCAAUUGUUUACUCUCCUAGGUAACUAUCGACCUCAAAAUGGUUUAAAAUACCAACACUACAUAGCCAUGGCAACCCGCAGUAUGUGGCACUACCAAAUCGAGGGGUGUGCUUUAUGCACUCUGAUAGGGUAAUAAAACAUCAGCUUGUGCUGAACUGGGCCCUACCCUCCCCGCUCCCACAAGCUCUUGUCCUCUCCCUUUCACAAACACUGGAGCUCAUGCAACUGGGUGGUGAGCCAGUGAGCUGAGCUGGACACAAGUUAAUCCUGCAGUAAAGAACGGACAAGUACUGGCCCAGAUGGACUCCCUAAACGGGGUCAGCUUGCACUCAGGUGCAUGCCCAUGCUGGCACACGGGAUGGCGUGGGACCAGGCAGCGACUGAAAGCUUCAGACUGAAUGUUUCCAACCGGGGUCUGGUAAAGACGCGGUGGACCAGCACCUUUGGCUGUUCACACCACGAGCCAAACACCAUGAACCUGAGCCUAGGAGCUGGAACAAUCCCCUUUGCCCACGCUGCUCUUGCAGCACACCUUGGCCUCGCCAGCCCUUCUGAAAGCUCCGCGCUCCUGGCAGAGCUGCAUUACAGCGUGUAUCCAUUCACACAUGUCAAUUCUUGUUAUAAAGCACAAGUGGUCAUGUAC